AAAAUAAUAAUACAAUGGUUUGUUUAAACUUAUAUAAAAUGCAUAUACAUAUAAAUGAUUCAUUUACGAUUUUAAUGGGACUACAUAUUUACAUAUGAUUUUUUUUAAAUGUUAACUUAUUAUUUUAUUGAUCUGUGUCAUAUUUUAAAUUAGUCCAAUUUGGAACCGUGGAAAUUUAUUCAGUUAUCAUGUUUAUUAAUUUAUCUAGUAUUAAUUUAUUAAGCAUCAAUUAUAAUAACAAUGAUCUAAAAGUCAAAUGUCAAAAGAGAAAAGCAUAAUAAUUCUAAAAAAAACAAUGACUGGAAAAUGUAAAAGUCAAAACUCAACGUCUAGGCUCAAUUGAAUUCGAUAUUUCAAGUUCAGUAUCCACUCCACUAGUGACAUUUCCAUUACUAUAACGAAGAAAAUCAUCAUUCUAGUAAACGGAUUAUUGUACGGCUUUUAUAUUAAGAAAAAAAAAUAAUAUUGUUUGAAAACAUAGAUAACAAUUAAAAAAAUAGUGUUGUUUAGAUUCAUGAAUAACAAUAUAUUAAAGAAAAAAAAGAGCUUAUGCUAUAAGAAAAAAUGGAAAUUUAUUAUAUUAUGAAAACUAUAUAUAUGGACAAGCUUUAAAAUAUACGAAAAAAU
rnacentral:lncRNA from 1 species